UGGAGUUCAGUCGUGAACUCUUCCGGAUGUGCCGUGCUGGAUGGGCUCAUUUACAUAAAGGACUGGUCCUGCCCUUUAAUUUUCAAAGAGCAAAGGCCAAUGAGGAAACUCCAACACUCAGCCGACCAAUCGUAUAACUUCAUCACUCAGUGACAGACUGCGGUCCAGCCAAAAAAAAAAAAAUUCAGACUAGUGUCAUAAAAAAUGAAGAGAUGCACAGUAGCUCUUUUCUUCUCCUUUAGACUGUCUUUUUUCCGCCCCAAUACCCCCCACCUCACCCGCCCUCCCUCUCCCACCUUAACUUUGGAGGAGGGCCUCCCCCAUGAUGCCUCCAGAUUGCACUUGUAACAAUGUGAC